AACGUAGGACACAAGCGUUAUCCGGAGUUACUGGGCGUAAAGCGCGCGUAGGCGGCCCGGUAAGUCCGCUGUGAAAGUCAAAGGCUCAACCUUUGAAUGUCAGCGGAUACUGCCGGGCUAGAGUCCGGAAGAGGCGAGUGGAACUCCUGGUGUAGCGGUGGAAUGCGCAGAUAUCAGGAAGAACACCAACGGCGAAGGCAGCUCGCUGGGACGGAACUGACGCUGAGGCGCGAAAGCGUGGGGAGCGAACAGG
rnacentral:rRNA from 1 species